GUAACUCUGCAACAGGUCCAACUCAGUAACAUGACAGUAACUCUGCAACAAGUCCAACUCAGUAACAUGACAGUAACUCUGCAACAAGUCCAACUCAGUAACAUGACAGUAACUCUGCAACAAGUCCAACUCAGUAACAUGACAGUAACUCUGCAACAAGUCCAACUCAGUAACAUGACAGUAACUCUGCAACAAGUCCAACUCAGUAACAUGACAGUAACUCUGCAACAAGUCCAACUCAGUAACAUGACAGUAACUCUGCAACAAGUCCAACUCAGUAACAUGACAGUAACUCUGCAACAAGUCCAACUCAGUAACAUGACAGUAACUCUGCAACAAGUCCAACUCAGUAACAUGACAGUAACUCUGCAACAAGUCCAACUCAGUAACAUGACAGUAACUCUGCAACAAGUCCAACUCAGCAACAAGACAGUAACUCUGCAACAAGUCCAACAAGUCCAACUCAGUAACAUGACAGUAACUCUGCAACAAGUCCAACUCAGUAACAUGACAGUAACUCUGCAACAAGUCCAACUCAGUAACAUGACAGUAACUCUGCAACAAGUCCAACUCAGUAACAUGACAGUAACUCUGCAACAUUUUUGUCCAAACUUUUGACGAGUACUGUAAAUAAAUUAUUUGAUAAAAAGUAUAAAGUAUUUCCAAAUCAAAUAAAAUGUAUUUGGUCACAUACACAUACAUGUUAUUGCGAGUGUAGCGAAAUCCAGGGACCCUCUGCACACAUCAAUAACAGUCACCCUCGAAGCAUCGUUACCCAUCGCUCCACAUAAUCCGCUACUACUUCGAGGUCUCAGAGCAAGUGACGUCCCAAUUGAAACGCUAACCAAGCUAUCCGUUACACUGGUGCCUCUAGUUCCGACCAUGCAGUAAUAUCUAACAAGUAAUCUAACCAUUUCAGAACAGCUACUUUAUACACACACAAGUGUAAAGGAAAUGAAUAAGAAUAUGUCAUCAACUGUCUCUCGGCUCCUCAACAUGAUCAUCUGUUUCCUGGCCAUGUUUUAUGAUUUAUCAACUCUCUCCACGUUCGCUCAACAUUCCUCCCUACUUUUUGUUGAAUAAUGAGACGGAAAGGACACCAUC